rnacentral:rRNA from 1 species
GAUGAACGCUGGCGGCGUGCUUAACACAUGCAAGUCGAACGGUGAGGGCGGAGCUUGCUCUGCUGGAUCAUUGGCGAACGGGUGAGUAAAACGUGAGCAAUCUGCCCCUGACUCUGUGAGAAGCGCUGGAAACGCCGGCUAAUACUGGAUACGAUCUGCUAAAGCGUCUUCAUCAGCUGUAAAAAAUUGCGUUCAUGUAUCAGCUCGCGCUGUACGAGCUAGUUGGUAAGGUAAUGGCUGACCAAGGCAUCCAAGGGUAGCCUGCCGGAGAGGGUGGUCGGCCACACUGGAGCGGAGACAGGGUCCAGGGGACUGCGGGAGGGAGCAGUAGGGAAUCGUCGGCAGAAGGCGGAAGCCUUACGGAGCAGCGCCGCGUGAGUGAUGAAGGUCUUCGGAUAGGGAAACUCUGUUAUUAGGUAAAAACAUAUGUGUGAGGAACAGAACAGAUCGUGACGGUACCUAAACAGAAAGCGACGGCUAACUACGUG